rnacentral:rRNA from 1 species
CAGGCUUAACACAUGCAAGUCGAGGGGCAUCAGGAAGAAAGCUUGCUUUCUUUGCUGGCGACCGGCGCACGGGUGAGUAACACGUAUCCAACCUGCCCUUUACUCGGGGAUAGCCUUUCGAAAGAAAGAUUAAUACCCGAUGGCAUAAUGAUUCCGCAUGGUUUCAUUAUUAAAGGAUUCCGGUAAAGGAUGGGGAUGCGUUCCAUUAGGUUGUUGGUGAGGUAACGGCUCACCAAGCCUUCGAUGGAUAGGGGUUCUGAGAGGAAGGUCCCCCACAUUGGAACUGAGACACGGUCCAAACUCCUACGGGAGGCAGCAGUGAGGAAUAUUGGUCAAUGGGCGCUAGCCUGAACCAGCCAAGUAGCGUGAAGGAUGAAGGCUCUAUGGGUCGUAAACUUCUUUUAUAUAAGAAUAAAGUGCAGUAUGUAUACUGUUUUGUAUGUAUUAUAUGAAUAAGGAUCGGCUAACUCCGUGCCAGCAGCCGCGGUAAUACGGAGGAUCCGAGCGUUAUCCGGAUUUAUUGGGUUUAAAGGGAGCGUAGGUGGACUGGUAAGUCAGUUGUGAAAGUUUGCGGCUCAACCGUAAAAUUGCAGUUGAUACUGUCAGUCUUGAGUACAGUAGAGGUGGGCGGAAUUCGUGGUGUAGCGGUGAAAUGCUUAGAUAUCACGAAGAACUCCGAUUGCGAAGGCAGCUCACUGGACUGCAACUGACACUGAUGCUCGAAAGUGUGGGUAUCAAACAGGAUUAGAUACCCUGGUAGUCCACACAGUAAACGAUGAAUACUCGCUGUUUGCGAUAUACAGUAAGCGGCCAAGCGAAAGCAUUAAGUAUUCCACCUGGGGAGUACGCCGGCAACGGUGAAACUCAAAGGAAUUGACGGGGGCCCGCACAAGCGGAGGAACAUGUGGUUUAAUUCGAUGAUACGCGAGGAACCUUACCCGGGCUUAAAUUGCAGUGGAAUGAUGUGGAAACAUGUCAGUGAGCAAUCACCGCUGUGAAGGUGCUGCAUGGUUGUCGUCAGCUCGUGCCGUGAGGUGUCGGCUUAAGUGCCAUAACGAGCGCAACCCUUAUCUUUAGUUACUAACAGGUCAUGCUGAGGACUCUAGAGAGACUGCCGUCGUAAGAUGUGAGGAAGGUGGGGAUGACGUCAAAUCAGCACGGCCCUUACGUCCGGGGCUACACACGUGUUACAAUGGGGGGUACAGAAGGCAGCUAGCGGGUGACCGUAUGCUAAUCCCAAAAGCCUCUCUCAGUUCGGAUCGAAGUCUGCAACCCGACUUCGUGAAGCUGGAUUCGCUAGUAAUCGCGCAUCAGCCACGGCGCGGUGAAUACGUUCCCGGGCCUUGUACACACCGCCCGUCAAGCCAUGGGAGCCGGGGGUACCUGAAGUACGUAACCGCAAGGAUCGUCCUAGGGUAAAACUGGUGACUGGGGC